rnacentral:lncRNA from 1 species
CGCCCGUCAGCUCUUGCAAUCCCUCUUGGCAGGCUGAGGAGAGCGGGAAGGACCUGGCUGCCUUCCAAGGAGCAGCAAAUGCAAAUAUUUCCUCACUUCAGGCUGGGUGCGGCCCGCGGAUAAAAUUUCCUUGGGCUUUCCCAGCGAAGGCAUCCGAGCUCUCGCUCUGCUGCGAGGCCAACUUGCUCCCAGGAAUACAACCGUGCGUCCCAUAAAGAAAGCCUAAAGGUUAUCUUUUUACAACUCAAAGGACUGCCUGGUUUUUAAAAAGAGGUUUUAAAUUGAAGAAGGAGCUGCCAGGCACAGCUGUAGUGUUUUCAAAUCAGCGGUUAAAGUGUUGACUCACAAAAAAAACCCCCAAAAAAACCAAUAACCCUUUCUGCAGGUUUCUUUGGAAAAUGGAAGAUUUGUUGUGUGGUGCAAGGAAAGUGGGAUGAUAAAGGGGCUGGGAAAAGUGCUGGGAGCAAGGUUGGGUGCUGGCGAUGGCUUUUCUCAAAUAAGAUAGAAAGAACUGCAGGAAAACUUUUUUUUUUUAGUUUGGAUCCCAGGUUAAUGGCAGUCACAUCCCAGCCAGCUCCCUGCAGCGCUGUUCUUCCCCACAGAGCAUUCAGACCUAUUUUCUGCGUGUUCCUUUGACACAGCCUAAAAAAAAAAUAGAUUUCUUAAAUGAAAAGCAGUCUGAUUCUGCUGAUUCUGGGAGAGGCAAAACCCAGCAGGGAUUAUACAAGAACAGCCCAAGUGUGGAUUUCUCCAGGUCAUGCAGCACAGCUAAACUUUUCCUCACAGCCAAGAUGUGGAAUAUGCUUUAAUCUCAUUUACUGGAUUGCUUCGCCUGAGUGUGGGGUUGAAGCCGCCAUCUCUCGGUCUCCUCACGGCAUGGAAAAUCCCCAAAAGUGCUUAGGGGAAAAAAAAAAAAAAAAAAAAAAAAAAAAAAAAAAAAAAAAAAAAAAAAAAAAAAAAAAAAAAAAAAGCCCCAAACGUACGAGGAUUGAUUUAUCAUCGGAGCCGGAGCGGUAUGGGAAGAAGCGAUCGCUGCUCGCCUGCUCCCCACGACAGCUCACCCGCCUUUCGCUUAAUUAA